rnacentral:rRNA from 1 species
UACGUAGGGUGCAGGCGUUAAUCGGAAUUACUGGGCGUAAAGCGUGCGCAGGCGGUUUCUUAAGUCAGGGGUGAAAUCCUGGAGCUCAACUCCAGAACUGCCUUUGAUACUGAAGAUCUUGAGUUCGGGAGAGGUGAGUGGAAUUCUGAGUGUAGAGGUGAAAUUCGUAGAUAUUCGGAAGAACACCAGUGGCGAAGGCGGCUCACUGGACUGGUAUUGACGCUGAGGUGCGAAAGCGUGGGGAGCAAACAGG